rnacentral:lncRNA from 1 species
GAAAAUUAGAAGACUUGAAGAAAUAAUUCAGGAUCUGACAGAUCGCCAGACUUGUAAAGUAUGCAUGGAUAAACCGGUUGAAAUUGUUUUUCUUCCUUGUAAUCACUUAGCUGCAUGUGAAAACUGUGUGCCUGCUCUAAAAACAUGCCCUAUAUGCAGAACAGUCGUCAAGGAAACAGUAAAAGCCAUUUUAAGUUAACUUUAACUGCAACUUAGCAAACAAAUGCAACAAU